AACCCCCCCAGCAGUCUGGUGCCGCACGAAAAACAGGCCCCCUGAGCCGCGGCCAAACCACAGUCUACAGCCAUGGAACCAUCGAUAGUUUCUAUACUCUAGAUUGCUGUGAAAUCGAACCAAUGAAACGGAUUUUCAUCUACGCACAAGGAAAAAUCAAGCACCAGCAGAAGGUCAUCCAAGCGCAAUUUUUUACUAAAUCACCGGAGGUGCAAGCGAUAGUGCAGAGCUGCACCUGGAAAACUUCGGCAACAUAUGAAACCUAACCGGAAAGCGAUGAGAGAUAUGAUCGUGAUGUGGUGUACCACUUCCGGGACAACCCCCUCCCUUCGCUUCGUCACGGCUUUUGUACGAAAAUUUUGUAUAAGUCAUAACGCUCAAGUCUAUUUCACCCCCCCCCCCUCGAAAGUUACGCAAUAUGGGGACGGCACCUAAAUAAUUCUGAAUUCCGACUGAGAAUUAUUUUUAUUAUUGAGAUUAUUUUGAAUUUAAAGACUCGUUGCUUAAUACGUAAAUAAUAAAAGCAUGAAUUGAAAAAAGUUAA